rnacentral:rRNA from 1 species
UACGAGUGCCCCAAGCGUUAUCCGGAAUCAUUGGGCGUAAAGGGUGUGUAGGCGGUUGUGUUAGUCUUUUGUUAAAGCUCCCGGCUCAACCGGGAAGGUGCAAAAGAAACGGCACAACUAGAGGGUGCGAGAGGUGUACAGAACUCAUAGUGUAGGGGUGAAAUCCGUUGAUAUUAUGGGGAAUACCAAAAGCGAAGGCAGUACACUGGCGCAUUCCUGACGCUGAAACACGAAAGCGUGGGUAGCGAAUGGG